UACGGAGGGUGCAAGCGUUAAUCGGAAUUACUGGGCGUAAAGCGCGCGUAGGCGGUUUUUUAAGUCGGAUGUGAAAGCCCCGGGCUCAACCUGGGAACUGCAUCCGAUACUGGAAGACUAGAAUGCGGGAGAGGGAGGUAGAAUUCCAUGUGUGGCAGUGAAAUGCGUAGAUAUAUGGAGGAAUACCAGUGGCGAAGGCGGCCUCCUGGCUCGACAUUGACGCUGAGGUGCGAAAGCGUGGGGAGCAAACGGG
rnacentral:rRNA from 1 species